rnacentral:lncRNA from 1 species
AACAUUUGUCAAUUGGUUAGAUAGGAUAUUAACACAUGUCAAUUCUCAGUUAAAAAAAUAUUUUAAAAUAAAAAAUGUGAAAGCCUUAAUUCCCUCACCGUUGCUAACACUCGAACGGACGGAUGUAAAAUGUGACCGGCGAACAAAAUCCCAUGAAUCCGUAAAAGAGAUACAAUUAUGGUUCGGUCUUUCAGUAGGUUAAAGCAAGGGAGUAAGGAAGUACACGAAAUGAUCGAGAAUAAUUCUCCAACAUAUGGAAAAAUGGUAUCUGAGACAAGACAAUCGACAAUGACCAUUCACUUGACCAAGAAACCCUUAGGUAAGGUCCUAAAACUAGUUUGAUACUAGAACCCUUAGUUUGGUUGAAGGAAAAAUAGAAUUUCUUGAGAGAAAACUAGGUUUGGUAGAGGAUGUUGGAUAGAAUGUCGAAAUCGGACGUUGGUAGCAAACGCUCUCGGUAGUCAGGCGAUAAAUGCAUUACUGGUGCAAAUUUUCAUCGAUGAUCUGCACAAGAAAGUAUUCGGUACGUUCAUUCUUUUAAGCUGGCACUUUAUGAGAGAAAAAAAUGGACUGUCGACUCGACACCUGGUGGCUGGUAACGGCUGUAUCCACUAUCGUUUGUAUCGACGGCUAGGAUGCAAUGUUGACCAACAAAGAAAAUGGACGGUUUGGAUCAAUCCCGAACUUUCAAUAAAUCAUUUUAAUCACAAAUUUUCCGUUGACUUUUCCGUAAAAUAGUUAAGUUUUGUUGACUUUACCGAUUCUUACACAACGUAUAAUAUGUCUUUAAAUCACGAAGACGUGGUUAACUAUCCUUGAGCUACUUCUGUUUAGUCCAAAUGACCAUGAUUUUUAAACCCCAAAACAACGUCUUUUAAGAAAUUGAAGAAACUAAAUCCCCAAAUCGAUUUAUAAUUCACAAAUCUAAAUACCAAACCCAAGGAAAAUCCACAAAUUCUCUUUACAUCUUUUCGAAUUGUUGCCAUGGCGCGGACCCUUGGAGGAAAAAAGCAACUUCCGACAUUGUUUUGUGCUUUAAAAAACGUGGUCGUUUUGACUAAACGGAAGCAACUCACAAAUAAUUAACCAUGUUUUCACUAUUUUUAGAGAGAUUAAAUAUCGUUCUUAAGUCAGUGAGGUCAACAAAACUUAACUAUUUUCUGGAAAAGACAAUAAAACUUUGUGACUAAAAUAAAAUUUUGAAAGUUAGGGAUUGAAUCUUCCCAAAUUUGAAAGUUUGGGAUUUUUAUGACAUUUGUCCCAAAUAACUUGUGACGCUACUUUAAUUUUACAUGAUAUCUUAGCAUACUUACUCUCGGUUAUCCUACUUUGACACUUUUAGACACUUCUGCGAACAAGCCUGAAUUCUCGGACUGCCACUCACUCGGAAAUGUUUUAGUCAGUUUUAUAGGUUCAAAGAACAAAUGAGAAGGUGGAGGGUAUUUAUAGUAUGGCUAGGGCGGUGGUGGAAGCAAGGGGUGGUAGAUAUGCAUCAUGCCGUCGCAACAUAUGUCCGACCACUAAUCUAGAGGAUCGGUUGAGAAUAUUUAGCUGUUCAUCCUUAUCCAUUUUUUUCUUAUCCAUUCGCUUGGUUUAGCCGCCUGCCUAGCUACUAACGGAUGCGGACAACCUAGUACGUUUGCUAUCGCGCCCAUACUCUGUGUUGUUGGCCAGAAAAUUUACUGCCGAACCAAAUCAAAUUCCACCGUUAGUCUUUAAUUUUCUUCGCCUAAAAUUUAUUUAUUCGUCUAAGAAUACUUUGGCUCAGUUUCAAAAAUUAGCUAUAUUUUGCCUUGAUCAAAUUUUUCCUCGAUAGGCAUUCCAUCUUACCUAUUAGGUCACAGAGAGGGGCAUUACAUUGGUACGCAGCAUUGGUUACACGAUCUAUG